ensembl:lncRNA
ACGGAGGCUGCGCUUGGCUGCUGCCCUAAGAUGCGUCUAGCGAGGAAAACAUCCCCUCUGUGAGGCCUGGGGCCACGUCCUCAAGAGCCCGGGCGUCAGCCUAUCCUCUGAGGGCAGGGCGUGCCCUCCACUCCAUCCUGGGCGAGGAGGCUGCUUUCAGACAGCCUUUUUUGUGCCAAGGCAGGAUGCUGGGCUGGUAAAGCCUUUAGAGCAGAAUGUCUGAGCUUUGUUCUAUCAACAUGGCUCUUAGCUUCCAUUUUUUUCAUCUCUAAAAUUGGAAUAAUAUUUUUAAAUGACCGUUUAUUUAAGACAAUAACACAAGCACUGUGCUAAGUGUAUUGUGCUCACUCACUUCAUUGUGUCCGACUCUUUGUGACCCCGUGGACCGUAGCCCACCAGGCUCCUCUGUCCAUGUGGUUCUCCAGGCAAGAAUACUGGAGUGGGUGGCCACUUCCUUCUCCAGGGAUUUUCCUGAUCCAGGGAUCGAAAAAUCCACGCCUCUUACAUCUCCUGCAUUGACAGGUCGUUGGGAAGAUUACUCAAGAUGAUGUGCAAGACAAUUGCUGAGUGACUGAUACAUCAUCAGAGCGCAGUGGAAGAUGACUGCUAACCAUUUUCAAAGACUGAUCCUGACUUGAGGGAGGAAGUUCCAAACCAGACUCAGCCUCUCCAUCCUUUGAGGCUGAAGACUGAGUCACUCUUCCUGUUACUGUGAAUUCAGGACAAAGCGUCCCAGUGCUAACCACAGAGUCCGGUCUACUCACUGAGGAAACCCCCGCAGUGGUCUCACACAGGAGAGGAAGGCCUGCGGUGCUGACCGAGCUCUUCGUCCCACUCUCUGCUGGUUUCCCCACCUUGCUGUCCAGCCCUGUCCCCCUGCAAAGCUCACAAAACCAGGCUCAGCUUGCUGUUGACCUAGGAACACUGUGAUCGCCGCUUUAAACACAAGCCCUCUCAUACACAUUAUAUUCUCCAAGGUCGCCGCAGAGCACCGAGUAGAGCUCCCCUGGGCUAUGCAGCAGGCUCUCACCGGUCGUCUAUUUUACACAUAGUGCUCUGUUGUUGUUCGGUUGCCCAGCCCUGUCCGACUCUUUGCGACCCCACGGACUGCAGCACUCCAGACCUCCCUGGAAAGUCUGUGUGACAGCCUCUAGGUGUGUCCACCUCUCUGUGAAUGACCCGACAGCACUCCUUUUAAUGGCACAAUGCAGAAGCAGCACCCAUCGCCUGCCAACAUCUCGUUGCCUCCUCUCUCAUCCCAUCGGGCAGAACUUAGCUGACGGGCUCAGAAUGCCCUCACCUCCUCACGUGUCCCACCAAACAAGUGAGUCUGCUGAUGGCCCAGUUGACAUCAAAGUGCCUCGGACCUGGGCACUGGGAUGGUCUCGUGUUGCCGCAUCUGCCCAUCUGCUCUUGACUUUUCUUAUCUCCAAAAGAAGGAGAGAGGCCUCCAGGAUCUCCAGCAUUCCAUCGAAGCAAGAUCUCGCUGUAAGUCUGGGGUUCCAGAGUCUCUGCAGAAGACAGUUGGGGAUGGGGGCAGUGCCCACGGCUCCCUCUGCGGUUCUGAAUGGUGCCCCGUGACUCCACUCCCAGUCACCGCCCGGCCGGCGCUCCGGUUCAGCCGAGGUCUGGGCGUGGCAGGCCAACCCGCUGCCCUGACCGAGGUAUACCCAGGGAGACGCGGGUGCUGUUUACACAGGCCCGGAGCUGGGGCCUGCCUCGCCCUGGCCCGAGCCUCUUACUGCUCUGCGAACUGGAAUUCCCCAAAUUUUCCCCCAAAUUAAAAGAACUAACAAACUGUAUUGCAAAAACAAACAGAGUUUGUUUUUCUUUUAACAAAUAAAAACUAAUUUAUGCUCUAGCUUUGUUGCCUUGAAUCAACCCGACCGCACAAUUUCGCUGCCAACA